rnacentral:misc_RNA from 1 species
GAAACUUUUUAGGAACGGACAGAUUUGGACUGACCCUUGAUAUAUAAUCUUUGUUUUUCGUGGUAAUUGGAUUGGAUUUUGAGUUCUUGAUCGAGUCUGGCGGCGUUUGAGAUCAAUUCUUCCAUUUGUUAUUGUGUUUUUGGGGAGUAAAAGGAUUUUGAGGAUUGGGUUUUCGAUUUGAGGAUAUGGGUUGUUUUCCUUGUUUCGAUUCGAG